rnacentral:hammerhead_ribozyme from 1 species
AUCCAGCUGAUGAGUCUCAAAUAGAACGAAACGCAUGUCCUAGAA